UCAUGGCCGGAUAGCAGCAGCAAAAGGGACAACCGAAACCUUCAACAUUUCUUCUUCCAAAACUCAUGCAAAUCACCACCAAAUCUUCUAAAAAUUUAGCACCACUUAGCCUAAGUCUUGGACAACACAUUUAGCUGGAAAAGGGAGGAGCUUUCACCGUUCUUCAAGCUUCAAAGGGGCCGAAACUUCUGUCCCAACCAGCCAUCGAAGUAGGUAGUAAUCAAUCACCUUAAACUUGUCUUUUGGAGUUUGAUUUAUGCAUUUGAGCUAGAAUCGUCACUUUAGUAGCUUGUAUUGUUGGGAAAAUUGUUAAACGUGGGCUCUAUGAACUCCCACUUUGGGUUGAUGGCUGUGAUGAUGUUUGAUGAUGGUUUUGUUGCUGAAUUAGAGCUUAAGGAAGUAGAUUAAAGGUGCUUUGUUACCAGAAACGUUAUUGAACUCUUGAAACAAAAAGUUCCCAUUUUACCCCUGCUCUGUUCGGUCAUUUUAAUGCAGAAACUGAGGAUUUAAUGGCCUGAUUAUGUUGUUUACAUGUUGUAGCAGUUGUGUACAAAUUUUCGUUGAAAAAUACUGAGUUUUGGUGGGUCAAACGAAUUUAUUUCCAAAGCUAGUAAUCUGGGAAAACGGUUGCCGUCGUAACCAGACCAGUGUUCGUGUUUCGUCCAUAACUCCGUACUC
rnacentral:lncRNA from 1 species